AGUGAACGCUGGCGGUAGGCCUAACACAUGCAAGUCGAACGGCAGCACAGUAAGAGCUUGCUCUUACGGGUGGCGAGUGGCGGACGGGUGAGGAAUACAUCGGAAUCUACUUUUUCGUGGGGGAUAACGUAGGGAAACUUACGCUAAUACCGUAUACGACCCACGGGUGAAAGCAGGGGAUCUUCGGACCUUGCGCGAUUGAAUGAGCCGAUGUCGGAUUAGCUAGUUGGCGGGGUAAAGGCCCACCAAGGCGACGAUCCGUAGCUGGUCUGAGAGGAUGAUCAGCCACACUGGAACUGAGACACGGUCCAGACUCCUACGGGAGGCAGCAGUGGGGAAUAUUGGACAAUGGGCGCAAGCCUGAUCCAGCCAUACCGCGUGGGUGAAGAAGGCCUUCGGGUUGUAAAGCCCUUUUGUUGGGAAAGAAGAGCAGCAGGUUAAUACCCCGCUGUUCUGACGGUACCCAAAGAAUAAGCACCGGCUAACUUCGUG
rnacentral:rRNA from 1 species